rnacentral:misc_RNA from 1 species
UUUCCGUAGGUGAACCUGCGGAAGGAUCAUUCAUAAUAAAGUGUUCUAUGGCACUUUUUAAAAAUCCAUAUCCACCUUGUGUGCAAUGUUAGAUCUCGUCAAUCUUGGCGAGAUUUUUAUACAUCAACUCAUUUUUUAACUAAUUUGUCUGAAAAAUAUUAUGAAUACUUAAUUCAAAAUACAACUUUCAACAACGGAUCUCUUGGCUCUC